CUUACAAGAGGGUGAUGUUAGCUGAAUGAGAGGUUGAACAGCCACUUGGGAAUGAGACACGGCCCAAAUUCUUACGGGAGGCAGCAGUAGGGAAUUUUCGGCAAUGGAGGAAACUCUGACCGAGCAACGCCGCGUGAACGAUGAAGUAUUUCGGUAUGUAAAGUUUUUUUAUUGAAGAAGAAAAAGUAGUGGAAAAACUAUAUUGACGUUAUUCAAUGAAUAAGCCCCGGCUAACUAUGUGCCAGCAGCCGCGGUAAGACAUAGGGGGCGAGCGUUAUCCGGAAUUAUUGGGCGUAAAGGGUGCGUAGGCUGUUAGAUAAGUCUAUAAUUUAAUUUCAGUGCUUAACGCUGUCUUGUUAUAGAAACUGUCUUGACUAGAGUGAGAUAGAGGCAAGCGGAAUUCCAUGUGUAGCGGUAAAAUGUGUAAAUAUAUGGAGGAACACCAGAAGCGUAGGCGGCUUGCUGGGUCUUUACUGACGCUGAGGCACGAAAGCGUGGGUAGCAAACAGGAUUAGAUACCCUGGUAGUCCACGCCGUAAACGAUGAGUACUAAGUGUCGGGGUAAAACUCGGUACUGAAGUUAACACAUUAAGUACUCCGCCUGAGUAGUACGUACGCAAGUAUGAAACUUAAAGGAAUUGACGGGACUCCGCACAAGCGGUGGAUCAUGUUGUUUAAUUCGAAGAUACACGAAAAAUCUUACCAGGUCUUGACAUACUCUGCAAAGCUAUAGAAAUAUAGUGGAGGUUAUCAGGGAUACAGGUGGUGCAUGGUUGUCGUCAGUUCGUGUCGUGAGAUGUUAGGUUAAGUCCUAAAACGAGCGCAACCCUUGUCGUUAAUUGCCAGCACGUAAUGGUGGGGACUUUAGCGAGACUGCCAAUUAAACAUUGGAGGAAGGUGAGGAUUACGUCAAAUCAUCAUGCCCCUUAUGAUCUGGGCUACAAACGUGAUACAAUGGCUGUGACAAAGAGUAGCUGAAACGCGAGUUUUUAGCCAAUCUCAAAAAAGCAGUCUCAGUUCGGAUUGAAGUCUGUAAACUCGAACUUCAUGGAAAGUUGGAAAUCGCUAGUUAAUCGCGAA
rnacentral:rRNA from 1 species